AAGAAUUAAAUGGAUGAAAUAUGAAAUUUUAUUAAAAGAAAAAGGGGUGAAAAGAACAAAGUUUUGUCCAUCUUUGUUCAUCAUAGCCUAAAGUUAGAGAAGAGAAAGGAGAGGAGAAAGCUCUUGAAUGUUCAGUCACUUGGGGAAGAAAAUUGAAGGCGGUUCGUGUGUGGAUCUUGUCAGCAUAUCGUCGCAAACAGGAAAUCCCCAACCGUAGUGGGCUUGGAGCUGUAAGGGAAUUCGGAGUGGCCACCCGUUCUGAAAGUUUGAUUUUCUUCUGGUGAACUGGACAUCCUUUUAUUUACGUUUGAAGUUUUGGGUUUUUAAAUGUAAUAAGGCCGCUUAAUUAUUUUUGAUGGUUUUAAUAUGUAUUACUAAGAUAGGUAUUACUUAUUUUAACUGUUGAAAUUGGAUAGCUUUAGGGCGCGUUUUCAAAAACAACAA